rnacentral:rRNA from 1 species
GGAUGCGAUCAUACCAGCACUCAAGCACCGGAUCCCAUCAGAACUCCGAAGUUAAGCGUGCUUGGGCGAGAGUAGUACUAGGAUGGGUAGUACUAGGAUGGGUGACCUCCUGGGAAGUCCUCGUGUUGCAUUCC